AGCAUUUAGUUGGGGACUCACAGGAGACUGCCGGGGUUAACUCGGAGGAAGGUGGGGAUGACGUCAAAUCAUCAUGCCCCUUAUGUCUUGGGCUGCACGCAUGCUACAAUGGCCGGUACAGAGGGCUGCAAUACCGUAAGGUGGAGCGAAUCCCAAAAAGCCGGUCUCAGUUCGGAUUGAGGUCUGCAACUCGACCUCAUGAAGUUGGAGUUGCUAGUAAUCGUAGAUCAGCAACGCUACGGUGAAUACGUUCCCGGGGCUUGUACACACCGCCCGUCACGUCACGA
rnacentral:rRNA from 1 species